CUUCAAAGGUUGCUCACACAAAAGGUAACAUUUUUGGGAGUAGCUAUCACAGCUGCCCAAUUAAAGAGUGAUAGCAAUCUUACAAGUCCCCAGACCUUUUAACAAACAAUCCUUAAAGAAGUUUUUUGGGACUUGUAAAUUUCUCAAAGGAAUUUGACACAUGCCCUAUUUGUAUCCAUAGUGACAUUGCUUAUGCCACCAGAUCAAACUAUCUGUCCAAAUGGAAUCUUGGGAAACUAAAGCACCCCCUCCAGUCAGCAGUAAACACUCAUUCAAAUGCACAAUUGAAUUUGUUAGCAAGGGAGGCUGUCUUAGAUGGAGAUCAAUGGUAUUUACAUGUAAAAGAUCCUGAGGUACAACAAGCAUGGGAGGAGCACUUCACAUGCAAAGAACUAAUUACGGAUAGCCAAGAGAGUUGAUCAAGGUUCAGAAGUGCCAGAUUUAAAAGCAGAACUGAAUAGGAAUCCUAAUCUUUCUCUUUUAUUACAGAACCAUCAAACACUUCAAAGUGGUAAUUCUAUAAAAGAAGGGUUGUUAUGUUAAAUUAUAUCCAUGCCCUAAGCAACAAAGGCCUAUGCAUCAGAGAG
rnacentral:lncRNA from 1 species